ensembl:lincRNA
GCAAAAACCACCCGGGGAAGAGGAUCUCAGGUCUCCGACCUUUCUGCACUGGAAAGGCGGCACGGCGCAACGUGCUCCGCUCUGCUCGAAAUCCCAACGCCACAAGGUUUUCGGGUUAAGGAUGGACACCCCGAAUGCUCUCCACCGAGCUCCACCGGACUUGGGUACCCCGUGGCGUUCCCGUCCGCACUCCCGCCGUCCCAGUCCGAGCGCCACUGCUCUGAGAGGGGCCAGUGAGGGUCACUUACCGUCGCUCUCCGCCCUGACGAGCAGGGACAUGCCCUUCAGCCUCUCCACGUAGCCGGAGGACACAUGGCCAGUACCCCGGUCGUCCCACUGCCGGUCCUCGUUGAGCGUGUAGACCUUCACCCGCCGUCGGGUGUCGGUCAUCGUGCCGGCCGGGGGCCCCGCCCGAGUGGCCCAGGGACAGUGUCCAGAAAAGGCGGGCGGCCGCAAACGGGGAACUCCGGGACCUCAGUGCCACCGCUGGCCGCCGCGGAGCUGCGCCGCCGCUCGCAUGGCCCGCUCCCGGGUCCGAGCCCCGGGCCGCCGCCUUCUCUCGUCUCCUUCUCCCCGGCGCUAUUGUCCAGGCCGAGCGAGCGCGGCCGCCCAGCAGCCCCGACAGGGAACGCGCAGCACUACGCAGCCUACCGGCCCGCCGUUCCAACGAGGUGCGGCUCGGUUCACAGCCCCGCUCCGGCCUCCACCAUGACCUCCGCAGAGCCGCUUUCCCGCGCCGCCGCCUCCUCAGGCCGCCGCCGCCAUGUUUUCCUCCCUUGUACCUGGCCCAGCCGCUGCAGCCGGAAGCCCCGCUCCGCUCCUCCCGCUUAAAGCAUCCGAAGCCGGUGAGGUAGCACUUCCCGGGAGACUUCGAACGCCUCUGGCCACCCGAGAACCCCUGGCUCUUCUUAGAAGCCGCCUUCCCUACUCCGCCGCCUCUUCCGUCUUCCUCACAGAGCCAAAGCCGCCGCCAUCUUGACUCGCCCCUCAAAAGCGGCGCGCGGGGCCACCUAGGCAGUAGCGGCAGGGGCGGCCCGCAUGCCCCACCACUUAAAGCGACAAGACGGGAGCCGGCAGCUUCGCUCCGGCCGAGGCCUUGCACCGAGGCGGGCGCGGAGCUGCGGGGGUGGCGGGAGCGGAGGAGGCGGGACGCGAGUCGCGCCGGUGACGGACCGGGACUCCCUCGCGCUGCCCUGCGCGUACUGUCGUGCAAGCGCGGGCUGCGUGUGCGUCCGUCGCACUUUGAAUUCGUCAUCACCUCGGCUCCGGGCGGGGAAGGGGUGUGGAGUCUGUUGGCGGCUUCGGGAGCCAGUAUGGACUCUGGUCCCGGAGCUCGUCCUUUCCCGUGCGAGCCUUCUCCGGACGCUUUAGGGAGGACCUUUGCAGUCGGCCCUGGGGGCGCGGACUGCUGGCGUCCUCCUCGUCCUCCCCUCGCCCUCCUCCUCCUCCUCCCUUGGCCUGAAAUAGAGAAGUUUCUGAGAGAGGACCGUUUGGACCGCGAGGUUGGCGGGAUGCAGUGAGGCACGCAAUGGCCGGUAAAUGACACAACCUCGGGGUUCGCCGUGUGAUAAGGUAUCCUGUAACUACUCUUUGUACCGCUGGGAUCUACCCUGCUUUACUGGAUGACAUGCAGCCUUUUCUCUUAGCAACUUCAUGAAUAAACAUCCAAGAGAACUUGUUUGUUUCAUUUAGUUUUUCGAGACAAGGUUUCUCUGUAUAGCCCUGGCUGUCCUGGAGCUCACUCUGUAGACCAGGCUGGCCUCAAACUCAGAAAUCCAUAACUUUUUUUUUUAAAGAUUUAUUUUUAUGUGUAUCAGUUUGUCUGCGUGUAUGUAUGUGCACUAUGUGUAAGCCUGAUGCUCUUGGAGGCCAGAAGAGGAUGUUGGAUCACCUGUUAACUGUGAUUACAGGCAAUUGGGAACUGCAUGCGGAUGAUGAGAAGCAAGGCCUUGUCCUUUACAAGAGAAGCCUGUGGUUUAAACUGCUGAGCUGUUUUUCUAGUUCCAAAUACCUAAGAGGAGUCUAAAGUCCUUCUCAAAGGACCUUGAGAUAUCUUUAUUUGCUUGUUUUUUCGAGACAGGGUUUCUCUGUGUAGCCCUGGCUAUCCUGGAACUCACUCUGUAGACCAGGCUGGCCUCGAACUCAGAAAUCCGCCUGCCUCUGCCUCCUGAGGGCUGGGGUUAAAGGCGUGCGCCACCACUGCCUGGCCCUUGAGAUAUCUUAGUGAAUGAGAAAAGGCACUUAAACUGCUAAGCCCAACCAAGUGAACUUGAUCCUUGAAACUCACAUGAUGGAAGGAGAGAACCAAUCCCCUUACCUUGUUCUCUGACAGCUACACACCCCUCUCCCACAGAAAUAAAAUGUU